CCUACGGGAGGCAGCAGUGGGGAAUUUUGGACAAUGGGCGAAAGCCUGAUCCAGCAAUGCCGCGUGAGUGAAGAAGGCCUUCGGGUUGUAAAGCUCUUUUGUCAGGGAAGAAACGGUGAGAGCUAAUAUCUCUUGCUAAUGACGGUACCUGAAGAAUAAGCACCGGCUAACUACGUGCCAGCAGCCGCGGUAAUACGUAGGGUGCAAGCGUUAAUCGGAAUUACUGGGCGUAAAGCGUGCGCAGGCGGUUUUGUAAGUCUGAUGUGAAAUCCCCGGGCUCAACCUGGGAAUUGCAUUGGAGACUGCAAGGCUAGAAUCUGGCAGAGGGGGGUAGAAUUCCACGUGUAGCAGUGAAAUGCGUAGAUAUGUGGAGGAACACCGAUGGCGAAGGCAGCCCCCUGGGUCAAGAUUGACGCUCAUGCACGAAAGCGUGGGGAGCAAACAGGAUUAGAUACCCUGGUAGUCCACGCCCUAAACGAUGUCUACUAGUUGUCGGGUCUUAAUUGACUUGGUAACGCGAGCUACGACGUGAAGUAGACCGCCGUCGGGAGGUACGGUCGCGAGAAGUUAAACGUUAACAAAGUAGAAGUUAGUACGGCGUAGAGACGUUAGCCGACGGACGACGACGAGGGGAGGUAGGG
rnacentral:rRNA from 1 species